ensembl:lncRNA
AUUUCAGUCUCCUUAGAGGAAAAAUAUGGAUCUCUAAGCUUCCCGACUAACACAAACUUAGGUCCUGGCAUGAAUUUGAACUGACAAGAGGCUUGAAAAAUAAACAAUUGAAAAUGGCAUUCCUGAAGGCCUGGUGGGUAUUGCAUGACUGAACGUCUGGGAAUGCUGUUCUAUGCUGUCUCAUGAGUCAGAGGAUGAGAAGAAGGGCCCCAGGUGCCUUGCAGUCCACUGCACCUUAAAGAUUGCUGACACUAAUCCACAUAGCACCAUGCUGUCAAGUCUGAUGACUCCAGGGAAGCUGCUGAUGUAAAGCAUAAACAGCCCAAGGGAGAUAACUGUGCUUACUGAUAAAAAUGCACAAUAUUCCUUCAAUUGUAAUUUAUUCCAGAAUUUUCUUCCAGAGCAUGUCCUGGUAAAUUGCUUAGAUUUGAGUGAAAAAUAAAC